rnacentral:rRNA from 1 species
UACGGAGGGGGUUAGCGUUGUUCGGAAUUACUGGGCGUAAAGCGUACGUAGGCGGAUUGGAAAGUAGGGGGUGAAAUCCCAGGGCUCAACCCUGGAACUGCCUCCUAAACUAUCAGUCUAGAGUUCGAGAGAGGUGAGUGGAAUUCCAAGUGUAGAGGUGAAAUUCGUAGAUAUUUGGAGGAACACCAGUGGCGAAGGCGGCUCACUGGCUCGAUACUGACGCUGAGGUACGAAAGUGUGGGGAGCAAAC